rnacentral:rRNA from 1 species
CCUACGGGAGGCAGCAGUGGGGAAUUUUGGACAAUGGGCGCAAGCCUGAUCCAGCAAUGCCGCGUGGGUGAAGAAGGCCUUCGGGUUGUAAAGCUCUUUUGUCAGGGAAGAAACGGCUGAGGUUAAUACCUUCGGCUAAUGACGGUACCUGAAGAAUAAGCACCGGCUAACUACGUGCCAGCAGCCGCGGUAAUACGUAGGGUGCAAGCGUUAAUCGGAAUUACUGGGCGUAAAGCGUGCGCAGGCGGUUUUGUAAGUCUGACGUGAAAUCCCCGGGCUCAACCUGGGAAUUGCGUUGGAGACUGCAAGGCUGGAGUCUGGCAGAGGGGGGUAGAAUUCCACGUGUAGCAGUGAAAUGCGUAGAGAUGUGGAGGAACACCGAUGGCGAAGGCAGCCCCCUGGGUCAAGACUGACGCUCAUGCACGAAAGCGUGGGGAGCAAACAGGAUUAGAUACCCUGGUAGUCCACGCCCUAAACGAUGUCUACUAGUUGUCGGGUCUUAAUUGACUUGGUAACGCAGCUAACGCGUGAAGUAGACCGCCUGGGGAGUACGGUCGCAAGAUUAAAACUCAAAGGAAUUGACGGCNGAGACGNGCGAGACGACGACGAGGAGAGG